UACGUAGGCAGCGAGCGUUGUUCGGAAUUACUGGGCGUAAAGAGUGUGUAGGCGGUGCUCUAAGUUCGGUGUGAAAUCUCCUGCUUAACUGGGAGGGUGCGCCGGAAACUGGAGUGCUCGAACGUGGGAGAGGAAAGCGGAAUUCCUGGUGUAGCGGUGAAAUGCGUAGAUAUCAGGAGGAACACCAGCGGUGUAGACGGCUUUCUGGACCAUUGCUGACGCUGAGACACGAAAGCGUGGGUAGCAAACAGG
rnacentral:rRNA from 1 species